GACGAACGCUGGCGGCGUGCCUAAUACAUGCAAGUCGAACACAGUGGGGACGGGUGAGUAACACGUGGGUAACCUCCCAUCAGAGGGGAUAACCCUUGGAAACAGGUGCUAAACCGAUACUGAUGGCUGAACCCGCGGUGCAUUCGCUAGGUGGUGGGGUAACGGCUCACCAAGGCCACGAUGCAUAGCCGGUCGGAGAGGGUGAGCGGACACACGGGGACUGAGACACGGCCCAGACUCCGACGGGAGGCAGCAGUGGGGAAUCUGGGGCAAUGGACGAAAGUCUGACCGAGCAACGCCGCGUGAGUGAAGAAGGUUUUCGGAUCGUAAAACUCUGUUGGUAGGGAAGCGGUAUCUAACCAGAAAGCCACGGCUAACUACGUGCCAGCAGCCGCGGUAAUAC
rnacentral:rRNA from 1 species